rnacentral:rRNA from 1 species
UACGGAGGGUGCAAGCGUUGUUCGGAAUCACUGGGCGUAAAGCGCAUGUAGGUGGUAUAUUAAGUCAGUUGUGAAAGCCUGGGGCUUAACUCCAGAAGUGCAUCUGAAACUGGUAUACUAGAGUGCAGUAGGGGGUAGUGGAAUUCCUAGUGUAGAGGUGAAAUUCGUAGAUAUUAGGAGGAACACCGGUGGCGAAGGCGGCUACCUGGACAUGCACUGACACUAAGAUGCGAAAGCAUGGGGAGCAAACAGG